ACGAACGCUGGCGGCAGGCCUAACACAUGCAAGUCGAACGCGUCCUUCGGGACGAGUGGCAGACGGGUGAGUAACGCGUGGGAACGUACCCUUUGGUUCGGAACAACGCCGGGAAACUGGCGCUAAUACCGGAUAAGCCCUUCGGGGGAAAGAUUUAUCGCCAAAGGAUCGGCCCGCGUCAGAUUAGCUAGUUGGUGAGGUAAUGGCUCACCAAGGCUGCGAUCUGUAGCUGGUCUGAGAGGAUGAUCAGCCACACUGGGACUGAGACACGGCCCAGACUCUUACGGGAGGCAGCAGUGGGGAAUCUUGGACAAUGGGCGAAAGCCUGAUCCAGCCAUGCCGCGUGGAUGAUGAAGGCCCUAGGGUUGUAAAAUCCUUUCGACGGGGAAGAUAAUGACGGUACCCGUAGAAGAAGCUCCGGCUAACUUCGU
rnacentral:rRNA from 1 species